rnacentral:rRNA from 1 species
UGAUAUGGAGCAAAACCCUAAAAAGCGGUCUCAGUUCGGAUUGAAGGCUGAAAUUCGCCUUCAUGAAGCUGGAAUUGCUAGUAAUGGCAGGUCAGCAUACUGCCGUGAAUACGUUCCCGGGCCUUGUACACACCGCCCGUCACACCAUGAGAGUUGGAAAUACCCGAAGCCUGUGAGCUAACAGUAAUGAGGCAGCAGUCGAAGGUAGAGCCAAUGAUUGGGGUGAAGUCGUAACAAGGUAGC